UCCUUGACGACCCCACUACACAUCUCACUCGCUUUUUCAUUGGCUGCCCCACGUCAAACCACGCCUAGAGUAUUCUCUCUCCUCCUCUCUCUUCUCUUACAUUACGGAGUACUUCUCUCAAUCUCAAUUGUUCUUUCAAUUUCCCCAAUUUUUAGGUUUGGUGUACAGAGAAAGAUCUCUUUCUUUGGAGGAUUAGAUCAUGGCAGUUAACGAAGUUGAAGCUAAAGGCUUCAAUCCAGGCCUCAUAGUUCUGUUGGUUAUUGGAGGACUUCUACUAACCUUCCUAGUAGGGAACUACGUACUUUACACCUAUGCUCAGAAGAACUUGCCACCAAAGAAGAAGAAGCCUGUUUCAAAGAAGAAGAUGAAGAGGGAGAGGCUCAAGCAAGGUGUUGCACCUCCCGGAGAGUAAAUAUUUAGGGUUUGUGAGCAGAUCAAAUCUUCUGUUUCUGUCCGCAGUACUGAAUUGCUUCGGGACUUUAAUUUUAUAUUCGUGUAACUCUAAAUUGAGUUUUGAAUAUUUUGGUAGUUAGCCACAUCUUAAUAUAUCAUAUGGGUAAGUGAGUAGUAAGUAUUAGGAUCUUAUCGAAAUUCACAUUUCUUCAAUAUGCAGGGAAUUUAAAGCCUACUUGGUUUUCACCAAGAGCAGGUGUAGUUAACCUGCAGGCACAACGUUUACAGCGGUAGGCUGAUGGCUUUUGUUUGUUGGUGUAAAAAUGUGGGGAGUGUUUUAUGGGUUUGUUUUGUUAAUUUGUGUUUAGAAUUCAUAGUAGCUAGUGUCUACUGAAGCUAUGACAUUUCUGUUAAGAUCCAUUUAUCGAUUUAAACAAUUAUGUGCUGCUGUCAUACUAUUACUCUUAUGUACAUGCAGAAUUUGGGAUAA